UGCCGCCGUUGAGAGGCGCGAGGCCGCCCCUCAGAGCCCUCCCGCUUCCACCGCCAUUCCGUCGACGCGCUGGCGGUGUGCCGCGGGAAAAAGUUGGCCGCUUCUCCUCCCCCGCUGCUCCCGUCACGGGCGGUAGUAUGGGCCGCAGCAAGCCGCCACCUGAGGCUCCGCGAAAGGACCGUCGAGAAGAGCUUUCCCAGUGAAAUAGGCGCCGCAGCUCCUGUAGGAGGCGCCAGAGAGGCGCGAGGGCGCGGCGGAGCUGCAAGGGGCAGCGCGGCCGGGAGCGCUGUGGAGGUGAGGUGAGGGGUGACGGUGGAAGCUGCCUGUGGAAAAGUGAGGGCCUCACACCGGUCCUUGAGCUCUGUGGAAGAAUAGUUCUGAAAUGCUUGACAUCCCAGUGCCUUAUGAGUGAUGAGAGUUGCAACGAACGGAAUUGUUCGUUUGCUUUUUUCCAUUUCCUUUUUAAAUAAACAAAGCUGGCUAGUUAGAUUGGAAUACAUCAUAACUUCUGCAACGAGCUUCUCUGCUCACUGAUAAGAUUGCUAAAGGCCAUGAUUUGCAUUGCAUUUCCAAGCUCCUCGUCAUUAGGACACAUUACCAAAGUAACAAUUUGUCUGUCUGUCUCCCAACAGCAGUGCAGAAGGAGCUUUAGUAGCACUGUGCCAUGGGAUGAGCAGCCAGACCUUUCACUCAGCAGAGUGGCAGCAACUCUAAUGUUGAUGUGGUCCCAUUACACAGCUCUGCACCAGGAACUUUGUACACAGGGCCAAUCAUGACCACACAAACCUGCUCGCUUUCCCUUUGCUAUUGACCAAGACACCCCUUAGGCCAUCUGCAUGCCCAGAUAAGCUGUUUUUAGAGAGUAACCAAUUGGGAAGCAAUCUCACUUAACCACAUGCAUGUAUGAUGUGAGAAACCCUGCUUUGCUCGUUGUGCUGACCUCUCCACAGUCCAGCUCCAUUUUUGUCUGCUAGUGUCAUAUAGAGUUUAUGUUGUCCCAUUUGUGUGUAAGAUGAGCACAGUGGCUAAGUAAUGUAGUUCACAUGUGUUGUACACGUGCAUUGUUAGGCAACUGCUUAGCUUGCAUUCUAUCCCAUAUAGUGAAACAAAAGAGGAAGUACAUUCAAACCUAUCUGCUUUGCGGACUCCUUUAAAACGCAGGCAAUUAAAGGCACACCUACUAAGUGUAGGUGGCCAGAUACUACAGAGAAAGGCAUUAAGAAAUGUAGGACUUGCAUUACUAGACUUGUAGAAAAUUUUUUUCCGAUGAGCCAGAAAAAAAAUGUCAGUGUCCAAGACAAAGACAGCCAAGAAAGACAAAAUCACAGUGCUCAUGCCAAGCAAUACAGAACUUGUAUGCUUAUGUUUAUAAUUUCAAAGGAAAAUAUGAGUCUGCUGUUCCUCCACUCUGUCUACUAUCAGAUUGUAGCAGCAGAAUAGACACUCAAUAUGGAAGAAGAAUGCAACAUGCAUGUGUGUGCUCCCAAGCAGAACCAAAGCUGUUAGAGCUAGCAUCUCUCUUGGUAAUGAUCUGUGUGGUAAUACAGUCCUGCAUUUUUCAGAUGUUGGAUAGUGAUUUAAACCCAUCGUGCCUGAAUUCAGCAAAAGCUAUUAGCCUUGAUUUGUUUUUGAGCUCACUUAUGAAAUAGAUAAACUGUUUUCAUUGAAUUUCUUGUAAGUAAUCAUGGAAACUGCUCUCUUAGCUGGUAUUUUUUUAAGGAGUUGGGCACUGAAUAUAUCUCAGGCAAUAGUCCUGUCACAUCAGAAAUUAUGUUGCUGAGGAUUUGGUUUGCUCUACCCUGCCAAUGUACCUAUUCAUGGCAUAAAUAAGGAGCAUCAGGCUGUGUAAAUACUAGUCUUAAUCACAAAAUAAAUUCAGUAAAAAUAAACUUUAGUAAUUUCAGUUUAAAUAAUAAAAUAAAAAUAAAAUAAAUUUUAAAAAAAUUUAGUAAUAUCAGACCUGCAAAAGACAGCUUAAUCUUGAUCUAAAAUGAUGAAUCAUAACAACCUCGAAAGGUAUUUGCAUCACAGUAUUGUUCUGGUUGUCUGAUGAAACAUCACAUGGAAAUACUGUAUUUAUGUUUAUUUUUCUAAACAUACAGUAUGCACCGUAUGGUUUCAAUUUCAUGAGGUAUAAACUUUUUUUGAGACACGGGUUAACAACGAAAGUAUGAAAACUAUAUGAUUAGACUAAAACUCCUUGUUUACAUUCAUACAGCAGUCUGCCUGUGAGAAGCAGUUUGUUGACCAAUGCUAACGUGUGAGAUAAUGCAGUAUGAUGGAAGCAUUUUCUUGAUGUGCUGCCUUAAGAACCCAGUUGUAUUUCCCUUAAUGAAAGUAACUGUGGAAGCUUAACCUCAGAAAGAAUCGAACCCGUUUUGUUUUGACUUGCCUUGUUUACCUUGCAGGAAAGGCAGAGAUACCUGUUUAAAUCAAAGAUGAACACUUCAGGUGAUAGGCACUCAGAAAGAGGCAGUGUUCCCGUGAGCUAGUUAUCAGUAACAGACAUCUCACCUGGUCAGGAUUUAGCAAUCUGCAAAAGCUUGGACAUGUCAGGUUUUAGUAACAUGAGGUAUUUAUCCUGGUAGUACAGCAACACUCAGAGACACUGUAGUCUGAAUUUGAAAAUAAACAUACGUUAAUUCUCCACUUGACCAGGAUGGGGUGUAGAAGCCUAACAUAAAAUACAGAAAGAGCAGUUCAAGACUGUCGUGAUGAAGAGAGCUGUAUUAAAAAAAAUAUUAAAUCAUGAAUCGGGUAGUCUUGCAGCUGCUUUCUUUUGUCAUUUCCAGUCCAGGAAUUUCUUUCCAGUUCUUGGAAUCACUGGGGAACUGUGAAUCUUAAACUUAUGUUUAGGAGAGGUAUGCAUAGGUAGAAGGUCAUCCAUCUGAUAGGACUUAAUCUUUGUGUGAUUCCUCUUCCCUUCAGUCUCUGAAAUCCAUACGUAUAAAAUCUGUGAUCCAAAUAUGUUUUUAAAAGCCGAUGAGCUCUUCACUGUUACUGUUACCAAAGUGAAUAUUUCACACUACGCGUUAAACAAACGUUACCCUUUAGUUGGGGAUGCAUUCCUUUCAUUUUAUUUACAUGAAUUCUUGUCUUUUUUCUUCAGAAUUACUGUACUUGAAAACACAUUCUUUUGAUUAUAAAUUCAUUGGAACUGUCUGUUAGUUAGAAAUGAUACCGAUCUUAUUAACUGUUUUAAACAUAAUCUUAGUUAAUUCAAUUAGGGUAGAAUCAAAUCUGUGAGGGAAGGUAUUUUUUUCCUUUUUUUUCCUUUUUUUUUCUUUUUUAAAGAUCUACAAAUGAAGCACUGGUAGUAAAAAGGCAAAGGUAUUUUUCAUUUUUUCAGUGUUGCAAGCCUCAGCCAACCUUCAGUCCAAAAAGCAUGAUGUGGAACUGAGUGCAGUGCAGGACUGCAGAGCACCAUGGAGAGACUCCAGAGAACAGCAGCUCAAUGUGCAGAACACAGGCAGAAGGAAACAGGAAACCAUUUCUGCAGCUGCAGCACUUGUUGUAUUCUGGUAUUAUUUCUGCAGUCCAGCUUCUUUAGCCUCGUGCUAGUGAACAGAGAGGAAGGAGGAUACAAAAGCUAUCUAUACCUGUGAUAUGACUCAGGCAGCUGCUGCAGGAGCUGAACAGAUUCCUAAAUAAGACAUGCAGUAGGGACCACAACUCUGUCUUGCCAAGGGCUGUAGGAAUGGGGGAACUAUGCCUGACUUCACAAGAGCUUUAGGAAACAUUUUGCCCGUCAAGAAUCAAAUUUCCUAUUGCGUUUUCUGCUUGCUCUUUCUUUGUUGUUUGUUUUUUCUUUCUAUGCCUUGCUGAGCUUUUUACAGUCUUAUUUCUAAUAGACUCCUAUGUACAAAAAGCACUGUUUUCACCAGAUCAUAAACUCUGAGAGAAUUUUCCUUAUAAAUACAGGAAAUAUUUCAAAUAUAUAUGUAUGUAUAUUAAAGCCAAUGUAGGGUAGCAAGAACAUAAAAAGUCUUACAGAAAAAGAGUACUUGUAGGCUCAGCAGGAGCUUCACCUGGGCACUUUGUUCACAUCAGUUUGCUGGAGACUUAGUAAUAUGAUUUCCCUAGAUGCAUGCAAAUAAAAUCUAUGAAGUCUUCAUUUGCUCUAACAAGAUUAAGUAUUUAGGGUUAGACUCUACUGCUGUUUUAAAAUUGAUAGUUUGAAUUAACUAUGAAUUAAUUCUGCUCUGCCCAAUGAUCUAUAAGGAAGUUUUAAUUAUCCGCUUCACUCUUAGAAGAUUUGUAAUACACUAACAUAUAUUUCUGUUCCUCCACUUUUUAUUACAAGUGAGAUUUAUUAAUUCCUUUUACAAGCUUGAGUAAUUCUUAGAUCCCAAACCACACUGUCUUAACUUUUCUUCCUCUUGAUGUGGAGGCUUCAUCGCUUCCAACCUUUUUAACAAAUAAUUCUCUUCUUGACAACUGACUGUCCUUUUCAGCAACAGAAACUGAAUGCUGAAAUAGGAAAUGUUUUCCAGUCUGCUGUUAAACAAAGAGAACUCUUCAUAAUACAGAGGAAGAAAAAAUCUGUCGAUAUGUGUAAUAGCCUUAUUCUCAAGAGGAGUGGAUUCAGGGAGCUUUGUUGCUGGCAGCUCUGGUGGGCACUGUCAAGAUUUAUAAAGAGGGACAUUUACAAGACGGAAGAUGCAGUGUUCUUCCAAGGUUGUUAGAACAAAAUAGAUCUGAAUCUCAUACAAAACAAAUGAACCGAAUAAUUUUAAUUAAUCAAAUCCUAUUUUUGUUCCUCAGUGUAAUAAUAUCUUUAACCAUGAAUGCAUUGCUGUUAGAUAAGAAAUGCAGCAAAACAUUCACCUCUUUUUUCAUUCUCUAGUGCAAACAAUAUAACAUAGGUCUACUGAAUCUAAAAGAAAAAGGAUAUGCUCCUAUUUCAGUCACAGCAGUUAACCCACAUGUUUGAAAAUGUGUAAUGAAGGGCAUAGUAAGAAAUCUUUUCUCCCUGUGUCUUAAAGUUACUUGCAUAUGUACUGGAACUUGAAUAAACUCAAAAAACACAUGCAGCUGAAGCAAAUCCUGAUAUUAUAUAAUCUAAUCUAUAAUAAUCUAUAAAUUCCCCUGCUUCCAAAGAGAAAUGGCCUUCGCCUGCAAAUCUCUGGAUUUGGCAGCUAUGCCUAAUUCAGUUUCAACUCCCACUGACAUCAGCAAAAAUUACCUGAUUAGGGAUGCAGGAUCAGCUCUAAGAUAGUAGCAUAUUAAAAUGCCAUUAUAAAUUCAAAAGCUGCUACCCAAAGUAUAAAGUAUUCAAAGCAGUUGAACGGUUCUCAGUGCACAUAUUCAAAAUGCUGAACAAUAGCAGCUAUUGCAUGUGUGACCAUCAGGAAACACAGCUGUGCUUCUUUGUGUUACAAUUAAUUACUUCCGUUGUAUAUAAAAUUGAAAGUAUUGGUACUCCGGGGCGGAAGAAGGAUAUCCUGAUACACUGCUCCUAUUUCCUUAGGAAGAACUAUGACUGAACCUUUCACCAUUAAUAAAGUUACAAUGACUUUUCCUGUGAUGAAUAAAGGAAGGGUAAAUUUUGUGGUUAAUCUAAUGCUAAUGGAACUUUCUCUCCGCAUUUUCACACUCCUGCAUUUAUAUCUCAUUUUACUGUUUUCACAUGCCGUCUUUGAUAACAGUUGCUCACUUCUAAGUAGUUGAACUUAAUAAUGCAAAGUCUAAAAUAAAUAUUUGGCUUAAGGAUUGUUCUUUUUUUUUUUUUUUUUUUUUUUUUUUUCAAAUGACAUUAGAUCAGAGGAAAGCAGAAGACUUCACUUAUAGGCUUCUGAGCAAAAGCUUCUUACCUCAGGUAUUUGUGGCUUCUCUGACGCUGGCACACAGCAAUGUAAUUUUUAUCUUUUUGCACCAGUACAGUUCCCUAAGCUGGAGGGGGAUGAGGAGUCUUAGCCAGAGUUUGGGAGGAUUAGUAACAUCCCAGCAUUUUAUUAUGUUUUUUUUUUUUUGGUUUUUUUUUUUUGCAUUUUUAUGUCAAAAAGUGCGUAGGAGCAAAAAUCUGUUUGAAGUUGGACUAAAUAGUGCAAAUCUGGACUGUGAGUGUGCAUACUGCCCCCAGACUUUGAUAUCCACUUUUGAAUAACAAUGACCCUUUCUUUUGAAGGAGCUUCUGAACAAACAGCUUCUGAGACUGUUCAGGAAAUCCGUCCAUCUCAAGUCUCCAUCAGCGAACAGCCAGCCUUCAGAUUCUCUUCUAGUAGGAGAGAAACAAUGGGACUACUGUUAUGUGAAGAGAAUGGUAGGAGUAGAAGAGAUUUCUUAACAACUGUAAGAACAAGCCAAUUCCGUGCUUCUGAGGAAUUUGGGAUUCUCAUCAGCUCUUCGUUUACUGCCAGUGGAUAUUCUUCCUCCAGAAAAAAAAGCAAGAAAUCCUGAUGCUGUUGGACACUCUUUACUGAGCCAUGGUAACUGCUGAUCCAGUUCUGAUUCGGAAUUCACUUCUAUAGAAGUCUGUUACAAGAUACUUAAGUGCUUUAUCCUUUCUCUAAUGAAUUGAAGACUUUUAUGUAUAACUGCUGGAAGGGUCACUGUGCAUAGAUUACAUUUGUAAGAAAGGAUUAUACGGUCCCAGAUAAACUUCUACUGUACAGUCUUAUACUUAUUUUGGUGAGACCCUUGGCAGAUCAAAGAUUUUCUUCAUAAAGUAUAAGGUGAGACACAAAACUUGGAUUUCGAUUUCCUAAUUCCCUUAAUUUACAUUCAAGGCUUCUCUGUCUGAUCUUAGCCCUCCGUGACAACAACUGCAAGAAGAAUGCGAACCAAGUAUUAGUCACCAGCGUUAGGAUAAGAAAAUAAAGAGACAAAUCUAAAGCCAGGAUGAGGAAGAUGCUUUGUUAUUUGACUUACUGAACUCUGUUCCAGUCAUCUGAGCAAGGAUGCGAAAAGACUUAGACUGCAGGUUGGCAGAACGGCGGCUCCAGUCUUCAGUUUCAUCUUCAGGCUUGUUCUGAGUUUUGAGAACAGCCUGAUACACCGGAGAUGCACUGUCUACGUGAGGAUCUUUAAUAGGAAGGGUACUGCAAUUCAGAAAGUGAAAUGUUGUGAAACAACACGCGGCAGCUUUCAUCUUAACUUCUCUCUGGUCUUACAGCUUCUCAUCCGAACUAACAGAAUUCAAAACAAAAGGACAAAUACAUAGAUUAACAUCAGGUGAAUUAAGAAAGAUUUUGCUCGUUAUAACUGUGCAAUCAUUCAAACCCUUAUAUUAAAAGCACUGUGAAAAUGGUUUGGAGAUAUCUGUUCACGAUUCCUCAGCCAAAGCAGCUAUAAGCUUCUGUGAUGAUAUAAAGGAGUCUGUGAUGAUAAAGGAGACUUAUUCCUCCAAGCAUUCUGACCAAUAUUAUUUCUUAUAAAAACAGCUUUGCGUUGGUACUGUUUUACAUUAUGUUUCAUUACAGUUUUGGGCCAGUGUAUUUUAAGGUAGCACAUAAAAACAGAGAACGUGUUUCAUUAUAUUAUUAAUGUAAUAAACUUUUUUACUAUUA